rnacentral:rRNA from 1 species
GAGUUUGAUUAUGGCUCAGAUUGAACGCUGGCGGCAGGCUUAACACAUGCAAGUCGAACGAUGAUUACUAGCUUGCUAGUAUGAUUAGUGGCGAACGGGUGAGUAAUGCUUAGGAAUCUGCCUAUUAGUGGGGGACAACAUUCCGAAAGGAAUGCUAAUACCGCAUACGUCCUACGGGAGAAAGCAGGGGAUCGUUUGACCUUGCGCUAAUAGAUGAGCCUAAGUCGGAUUAGCUAGUUGGUGGGGUAAAGGCCUACCAAGGCGACGAUCUGUAGCUGGUCUGAGAGGAUGAUCAGCCACACUGGGACUGAGACACGGCCCAGACUCCUACGGGAGGCAGCAGUGGGGAAUAUUGGACAAUGGGCGAAAGCCUGAUCCAGCCAUGCCGCGUGUGUGAAGAAGGCCUUUUGGUUGUAAAGCACUUUAAGUGGGGAGGAAAAGCUAAUAAUUAAUACCUAUAGCCCGACGUACCCCCG